GACAGCCGUUGGCUGUCCGGGCAUGCUGGGAGUUGUAGUUUUGCAACAGCUGGAGGCAGACUGGUUGGGAAACACUGGUCUAGCAAUACAGACGCGGUACAUAGAGCUGCCAUUCAGGAGUCUAGAAAGGUCUGCGACAUGCGAAGCGAGUGGACUGGACGCAGUUAUUAAAAAGGGGCUCAAUACACAUCCCGCCAGGUCUGAGAGGAGCAGUAUUCAACCACAAACUAUGGCCAAGAGUUAGAUUAGACAACCACAUUUCGAUCGGCCAUUGAUCGCUCUGGAGGCCAGUCCGCGACAAACGGAGAGGAAAUCCGCAACAAACUGCAACAUUCCAGCCCUGUGUGAACAUGAACAUACCUGACGUGUGUAUUUCUAUAUAACAAGCUAAAAGCUCGUACUCAUCCACGCCGCCACCCUCCAUUGUGUGAAUGAGGCCCAACACCCGAUCACCCAUAAUAAAUAUCCCCCCCCCCCCAAAAAAAAAAUGACCAUGAUUCUUGCAAGCUCUCAAAGGGUUAAUCUAUGCAUUGUAUCCGUUCCAUACCACGAUUCUGUUCUCUCCUAUUUAAUCGCAUAUUAUCAGCCUGGAUAUCACUGGGCGAUGUUACCCCUUUUUUUUUUUUCAACCCCCCCCCCCCCCUUUUUCGCUUUAAGUCCAAAUAACAAAGUGCAUCUCGAAAACAAUUAUGCAGAAUACAUUCCGAGGCGCCCCCCGCAUACAGUCAAACUGUUUACAGAUUACACCAUUGUUACAUAUAGAACAUAAUUAUCCUUCAAAGCUUCCAUACUAAUUUAAGGAUUAAAAGGACAAUUUUCAAUGUU